UUCUAUAGCGACGGCGCUGAGCCGAGGCUCUUCCGAGUAGUAACAAAGCCCGGCGCCCGCUGCCGCGCCGGGGCUGCGGGGGGACGCGGAUCCCUCUCCCGAGGACACCGCGACAGGACAAAGAGAGAACAGAGAGCAUACCAUCGAUGAUUCAUCUGUUUUUGUUAUCAGUCAUUCAGACCUUUUGGUGAUGGAUGGAUGAAUAAAUUGAGCCUAAAACUAUAAGCCAGCUUGGCAGCUGGCAGUUCUUGCCCAUGUGGAGAAGAAUAGGCUUUUCUUGUGUGCUCUCAAGUGAACCUUAGGAAGAAGUUGUUUUUCUUGGAAA